rnacentral:lncRNA from 1 species
GAGAAAUAUGUUUCCUUUAAAAGGAUGUAGGUGUGGCUACUGCAGUGUAGCAAGGAGAUUAAAAAAAAAUCCUGCUGUUGUGUUGUGUUUGAAGUAUUAAUUAGAGUCUGGCGUCAAGUUUGAAUGAUAACUAUUACUUUCUUCACACAGAUUUUCUAAGCUUGAGAGACCAGUUUUCAAAAGCUCUCUAGCAAAGCUAUUAUCUUACCAGCAUCACUUUGUCAGAAGAAUCUGUGAAAGGUUCAUCAGAAACACUGAGGGCUUGAAGGAAUGAAAGAUCCUGAGCCCAAAGGACAGGAAAUCGUAGUGUCUCCUAAAGGAUGGACUGCUUCCUGAUGAGAAGGUGCUAAGGACGUGCUGCUCUCCAUGCAAAGCUGAAGGGGUGCCCAGAGAAACAGCAGCAUGUCCAACGGGUGUGGUUAAUCCUUGACAGGGUAGCAGGCUGUUCCCAGGACUGCUGAGCAAAAUACGGCUGAAAGAACAGAGAAUAGAUUCUCUCCAGCAUCAGUCUGUGUUGGGUAAAGCAUCAAGCUUGUUGAACCAUGCAGACCAAGCAGAAGAGAUCCUGUGAUAGAAGGUCCAAUUCAAAUCUUGUUUCCCUUCAGAAGGAGAGUGCCCAGCCUAGCCAUUUGAUUCAGCAUUUUCUAGAUCUUAUUCGACACACAGCAGUAGCUUCAGCUGGAAGAAUGAAGACACUUCUCACCUCAGAAAAACCUGCAGGCUUGUGGUUUCAGUCUUCCAUUGACAGGUAAGAUAUUAAUCUCCAGAGGCUGGAAACUCCUGUCUUCUGUAUCCUUCUUCAACUCUUCAACUACCAGUUAAGCAAAGCCACUAUCACCAACUCUGCUACACAUUCCAUGGUGUUCAGCAGAGAGAAGCUGUGAGCACAAGGAGCCUGCUGAGGGUUCAGAUGUGAUCAAAGCUGCUCUGCAGUCUCAAGGCUGAGGUUUUUACAGGCAUAACAAAACCAGACCUUUGGGGUACCACUUCAUUAUCUACACAGCUGAAGGGAAAGAAACGAGUAAUAUGGUGCUCUCAACCUUCAGGAAAACAAAUUAAAACAAAACAAAACAGAACAAAACAGGAAAAUAGCAAAAUGCUGGUUAUUACAUAAAAACAAACAAAACCAACCAAAUAACCAACCACCCCCCAACCCCGAAAAAAACCCAACAACAAAAAGAAAAAGAAGAAAACCCCACACCUCCAAAACAGUUCUGGGAAUUAUUGAAUCCAAAGGUACCUUACCCUCUUUUCUCACCUCUUUCUAUAUUUUCUUACCUAAUUUCCUUUCCUCAGAUGAAGUUUUGUCAUUUUGACUUAAUCUCAAAAUGUUUUUUCAACUUUUUGAAAUGACAGAACAGAAAAAACCAAAACAGUGCUCUAUUGAUAUAACUUAAAAUGAUGCUUCACUACUGAGCUGGGUUAAUUUACAGAAUUUUCCUCCAAAAUUUCUAAGUGCUGACAUGGCAUCAAUGUCUUCAUUCAUCACAAUGAGAACUUGCUUGUUGAGGGGUUUUGUAUGGGUGGGUGGGGGAUUGUUUGGGUUUUGGUGGUUUUUUCCCAGUUGUUUUGUUUUAACCAAGCAGCUUCUUCCAAAAGAUUUUUUUUUACUUUCCAAAAAGUUUUAUUUACAAUGCUACUUAAGUUGUAAAAUAAGAGUAUCCUGGUAAAAAUGUUAUUUGCACAGAUCUGAGUUCAUAGCUAAGAAAGACCUUGGAACUUCUAUGAAAAAACUAAAGUAAUACUAUGCAU